AUAGGAGACUUUAAUGUUAUAGCUAAUCCUUCGAUGAAGAAUAGUAGCACUGUAUCAAAGCAUUGUCGUAUGGCUACCUUUUCGAAUCAUGUUAAAUGUUGUGGCUUAAUAGACAUGGGUUAUAAUGGUCCUGCCUUUACUUGGUGUAAUAAGCAUUUUACUUCCAUUCCUACUCAUGAGCAUCUUGAUCGUUGCUUUGCUAAUGCAUAAUGGUGUAAUGAAUUUCCUAAUACCGUUGUUUACAACCUCCCAAUUAUGUACAGUGAUCAUGCACCAAUUCUAAUGAUAUCCAUACCGAUGACAAUAAAAACCAAAAGAACUUAA
rnacentral:rRNA from 1 species